rnacentral:lncRNA from 1 species
CUUUGCUCUGAUCAGUUACUCAGAAGAAAUCUAUGUAAAGCAUGCGGAGGGGAAAACAUUUGCACAAAAAGUGAAGGAGCUCGCCAAGGUGGUUCAAACCUGUCCUGACACCCAGAGGUCUGCAUGAGGGGUGGCCACUGAAUGAGGAGUUCUCAAAGGCCACAGGUGAUGAAGAGCUUGGAUGAAUGAACUUAGAAGUCCCAGGAAAAUAGCAAAAAUUUCAUCUCCUGAAGAAAUUUGAAGAUUUUUUUGGAUAUUCUUUUAAAGGUGAAACUUUUCUUCUUUAGGAUUGGACAACUGAAUUUAAAGGCAAGUUAAAGUUCAAUAUUUUGAACAAUGUUUAAACGAAGAUGAGCGAGAAGGCAGAACUGUUAAAAGGUUUUAUUUUACAGCCAAGUGAAGGAUUCAGCUACGUCCCAAAGGAUUAAACAAGAUGGUAUGCUUAAUAAUUCCUCACUUCUAUGAAAUUCCCUGAUUAUAAAGUGUCCUUUCAUUCUAUAGAACUACUCCUGAUUUCAUCAGGAAACUCUGAUCUGAAACUCAAUUUACAGAAAUAUUAAAAAUGAAUUUUCAACUAAAUGGGAAUAUUUGUAUACUAAUAUGAUACAAUAUUGUUGCUUCAUUUUUUUCAUAUUAAAUACCAUUCUAAACUCUAAAUUUGUUAAUAAAUGAAGCAGAAAUCUAACAUGA